CCCUGAGUGCGAUUGGAGCCGGCCAAAACUACGUUGAGGCGACGCUCAAACGCGUCCGUAUGUCGAUUAGGGUCAAGCACCUCUGCUAGCGGUGUCCACGGGGCGAAAACAGAUCGCCAUCUUCCAUGAAUCAAUUGAGCUCGACGUUUGGACUGACUCUUCUUGGGUCACAUACUCGCUCAAGCAUCGCCGCCGCUCCCGCUCCUUCAUGGAUGCGUUGGUCGGCCAUCUAACUCCUGGAUUCUGCCAUUGAUCUGGACUCCUGGGCCACCAUCAGCACCUGCCUCCGCCAAGGCCAUGCCUGCACCAAGAACAGUGCGUUCAUGGGAGUCUGCGGUGAAUUCUGCUUAUUCCCAUUAAGUAGCUGCCAAGAUUGCUACAUUUAACGGAGGAAUUCACUGCCUAGAUUGAGUUUGCCACACUUCCUUUCAGAUUAUGCACUUGAAGAAGGUCCCCUUUCCAGCCUCAGAUUGAUGUGAUUGUUUUCAUUGAAAAGAUAAACACGAUCCUGCUCCUUCUGCAUCGGCGUCCUUGGAUGUGGCACGAGCUCCUUGGUUGUUGCAAUGAUGAGGAACCCCAAUCUUAUGAGACAAUCUCCCUAUUCGCUAGACUCGGUUUACGUCUUGAUUGACAUGGAAAUAUUUUGAAAGUGAUGAAUCUGUCUACCCAAUUUUGUACGUAUAGUUAUGUGGAACUAAAAAUUAUCGUCGGACUAUCUUCGACUGUUCGACAACAAUAUGGACUACAGGAGGGUGCAAGACCGAGCAGGUUCCAUCUAUUGUGGUAGGACCUUUUUUAGCAGAAAAAAUCAGAGCAGAUAUAUAAGCAUCCACUCAGCUCCCGUAUGAUGUAGCCUUGCAGGUGAUAUCCCGAGUUGUGCACGUCCACAAGUGCCUCCACACAUUAUAGCCUAGAUGUCCGAACACCGUGCUGACCUCCCAACUCACAGCGGCCAUGGCAAUGCUUUUGCCCAGUGUGCGUGUGUGAAGCAUGAGAGAGCUCAGUACGGCACAUGUAAAUCAUGGUCGCUGGUGAGCCAGAUAGCAUGGGACCAUCGGUGUCUCUGAUGUAGCUAGCUCAUAAGCAUUUUAGCCUGAAUUAUGCCCUAUUGUGGCACUAAUUUACAAAAAUAUAUGCAAAGAUUUAACUCAUUAGUUGCUACAUUUAUAUGAAGCUUCUAACAGCAAUUUCAGUUUUUGUUAUAUGUAAUCAAAGAUGUUAAUUGAUUCUAUGUUUGUAGGACCGUAGACAAUCAAAAUGAUGUGCCAUUUUGCUGGAAAACAAGAAAACAAAUAUAUUUUGAUCUUCUCAAAUAAUAUUAUCAGUUAAUCAACUGUCAAAUUUAAUAUAAUCCAUUGUGUACUACAAGUAAUGUUUAAUUUGGACAUAGCUAGCUACCUAGAUUCAACCGCUUGAUAUAAUCCAUUGUGCUGUCUUCCAGUGAACACAUGAGCUUCAUAUUCAGACUUUGAAAUAUUUUAUCGCUGGUAAGUUUUGUUAAAUGAUAUUGAUUAUAGCUUUUAUUGUUGUUGCAAGGUUUUUUCCUUGUUAGCAUGCUUUCUUUUUUAAGUAAUACAGCCAUGAUAGAAAUGGCAGAAGAGGGGUUUCAGCUUGAUGCUUAGCUUUUAUGAGUUCAUGACAACAAGAUGCAUGACUCUGUCCUUCGUAUCAUAAUUGCAAUAUGUAGGAACCAAAGUGGCUCUUUUGACUUCGGAUGAGAGUUUUGAUGACUUGAGCCUUUACGAGAACUUAUGACAUAAAUGACCAGGUCCUUUCAACAAAUUAUUAUAUCUUGGGCAUCUUACAAGUACCAAGCAAUCCAUAUCUCUCAUGAU